CAAAGGAAUUGACGGGACCCGCACAAGCGGUGGAUGAUGUGGAUUAAUUCGAUGCAACGCGAAAAACCUUACCUACCCUUGACAUGUCCGGAAUCCCGAAGAGAUUUGGGAGUGCUCGCAAGAGAACCGGAACACAGGUGCUGCAUGGCUGUCGUCAGCUCGUGUCGUGAGAUGUUGGGUUAAGUCCCGCAACGAGCGCAACCCUUGCCAUUAGUUGCUACGAAAGGGCACUCUAAUGGGACUGCCGGUGACAAACCGGAGGAAGGUGGGGAUGACGUCAAGUCCUCAUGGCCCUUAUAGGUGGGGCUACACACGUCAUACAAUGGCCGGUACAGAGGGUAGCCAACCCGCGAGGGGGAGCCAAUCCCACAAAGCCGGUCGUAGUCCGGAUCGCAGUCUGCAACUCGACUGCGUGAAGUCGGAAUCGCUAGUAAUCGCGGAUCAGCACGCCGCGGUCGAAUACGUUCCCGGGCCUU
rnacentral:rRNA from 1 species